GGGGUUGACCGGUUUUGACAGCAAGCAGAAUGGGUCAGUAAGCAUGCCGAGCCAGGUGACGAAGCUCGUAAAUCUUGGUCACAGCCAUAAAUGGCAACACUAACUACGCACUUGCUGCUUAAUCAACCACAGGUUGGUUAGCUUUAUCUGCCACCAGGUGGCAGAGCAAGUCAUCCCGCCAUAGCCCGUUCACCCGGCGAUGGACUUCGGGGUGUCAGAAAAGGGUGAAUAGGAGGACAGAAGUUGCGGCUGCCUUCUGAAAUGCAAGCAACUAAGCCAAUGGCAGGGUGUCUGUCCCCAUCCAUUGGUCGAAAACCCAACGACAGACUAAGCAUGUAGAAAGCUGGCUGAUUCCUUGUUUGGACGCGGGUUCGAAUCCCGCCAACUCCACUC
rfam:Schleiferia thermophila str. Yellowstone contig00018, whole genome shotgun sequence.